UCCUCUUGGAGUCUUCUCAGCAAGCCCAGGAUAAGGAAAUUAAGGAGGAACCCAGGUUACUGCUGAGGAAGAAAGGAGACUAAAGAAACAGAUGCUGGCUGAGAUGGAGGAUAUGGCAAGGGAAGAGGAUGAAGGGGCAGAGCAAUAGAGAAGGGAGAAACUGAGAAUAUGGCUUUCUGGAUGAUGCAGAACAAUGUGACUGCUGGGUGCUAAAACAGCGAUAGAGAGUGGAAAUGGGACUAGACAGCUACACUGGCAUCUUUAAUUGUUCUUAAACAGCUUUUGAUUUGGAGUCUACUGAUGCAGAGCACUUGGAAAGUGUAUGUUUAAUACAAGACGAAGUUUUAAUCCUUAAAGGGUAUUGAGGACAAAGAAGAAACAUUGAAACAGGAGAUUUUAUAUAU